CAUCAGGUUGAAACACUGGUUCUCAUACGAUCACCUAAGUUAAGCAACAUCCAGCCUGGUCAUUACCGAGAUGCGUGACAGCGUGGGAAUACCAGAUGCUGUAGG